GACGAACGCUGGCGGCGUGCUUAACACAUGCAAGUCGAACGGUGAAGCGCUUUCCUUUUUGGUUGGUGUGGAUGAGUGGCGAACGGGUGAGUAACACGUGAGUAACCUGCCCCCUUCUUCUGGAUAACCGCAUGAAAGUGUGGCUAAUACGGGAUAUUCUGCGCCUGCUGCAUGGUGGGUGUGGGACAGAUUGUGCCUUUGGGUGUUUUCGGUGGGGGAUGGGCUCGCGGCCUAUCAGCUUGUUGGUGGGGUGAUGGCCUACCAAGGCGGUGACGGGUAGCCGGCCUGAGAGGGUGGACGGUCACACUGGGACUGAGACACGGCCCAGACUCCUACGGGAGGCAGCAGUGGGGAAUAUUGCACAAUGGGCGCAAGCCUGAUGCAGCGACGCCGCGUGAGGGAUGGAGGCCUUCGGGUUGUGAACCUCUUUCGCCAGUGAAGCAGGCCUGCUCCUUGUGGGUGGGUUGACGGUAGCUGGAUAAGAAGCGCCGGCUAACUACGUG
rnacentral:rRNA from 1 species